AACGCUGGCGGCGUGCUAACACAUGCAAGUCGAACGCGAAAGGGACUUCGGUCCUGAGUAAAGUGGCGCACGGGUGAGUAACGCGUGGAUAAUCUGCCCUUAUGAUCGGGAUAACAGUUGGAAACGGCUGCUAAUACCGGAUACGCUCAAAAUGAACUUUUUGAGGAAAGAUGGCCUCUGCUUGCAUGCUAUCACGUAAGGAUGAGUCCGCGUCCCAUUAGCUUGUUGGCGGGGUAACGGCCCACCAAGGCAACGAUGGGUAGCCGAUUUGAGAGGAUGAUCGGCCACACUGGAACUGAAACACGGUCCAGACUCCUACGGGAGGCAGCAGUGGGGAAUAUUGCGCAAUGGGCGAAAGCCUGACGCAGCGACGCCGCGUGAGGGAAUGAAGGUUUUCGGAUCGUAAACCUCUGUCAGAAGGGAAGAAACUACGUUGUGCUAAUCAGCAGCGUACUGACGGUACCUUCAAAGGAAGCACCGGCUAACUCCGUGCCAGCAGCAGC
rnacentral:rRNA from 1 species